UUCUGGAUGAUGAAGAUAAAAUCAUUCCGAUACCCAUUGAUUUUACAAUAUGAUUUUUAAGAACCAGCUACUUCUGACAA
rnacentral:snoRNA from 1 species